AUUGAACGCUGGCGGCAUGCUUUACACAUGCAAGUCGAACGGCAGCGGGGGCUUCGGCCUGCCGGCGAGUGGCGAACGGGUGAGUAAUGCAUCGGAACGUGCCCAUGUCGUGGGGGAUAACGUAGCGAAAGCUACGCUAAUACCGCAUACGUCCUGAGGGAGAAAGCGGGGGAUCUUAGGACCUCGCGCGAUUGGAGCGGCCGAUGUCGGAUUAGCUAGUAGGUGGGGGAAAGGCCCACCUAGGCGGCGAUCCGUAGCGGGUCUGAGAGGAUGAUCCGCCACACGGGGCCUGAGACACGGCCCAGAAUCCUACGGGAGGCAGCAGUGGGGAAUUUUGGACAAUGGGCGCAAGCCUGAUCCAGCCAUGCCGCGUGAGUGAAGAAGGCCUUCGGGUUGUAAAGCUCUUUCGGCCGGGAAGAAAUCGUGGUCUCUAACAUAGGCCAUGGAUGACGGUACCGGACUAAGAAGCACCGGCUAACUACGUGCCAGCAGCCGCCGUAAAAC
rnacentral:rRNA from 1 species